rnacentral:rRNA from 1 species
UGUUUGGGAAUGCAGCUCAAAAUGGGAGGUAAAUUUCUUCUAAAGCUAAAUACCGGCCAGAGACCGAUAGCGCACAAGUAGAGUGAUCGAAAGAUGAAAAGCACUUUGGAAAGAGAGUCAAACAGUACGUGAAAUUGUUGAAAGGGAAGCGCUUGCAACCAGACCUGUCCGUGGGCGAUCAACCUCCGUUCUCGGGGGUGCACUCGUCCACGAUCAGGCCAGCAUCGGUUUGGGCGGUUGGAUAAAGGCCUUGGGAACGUAGCUCCCCUCGGGGAGUGUUAUAGCCCUCGGUGCAAUGCGGCCAGCCCGGACCGAGGACCGCGCUUCGGCUAGGAUGCUGGCGUAAUGGUUGUAAGCGACCCGUCUUGAAACACGGACC